UGAUUUGAUUUUUGAAAGAGUAGGAUGAGUAGUUUGAUACAACAAUGGGGGCUUUGGUUCUUAAAUUUGAAGAUAAUGAUAAACAUGUAAUAAAUUAUAAUUUUGGUUAAAAUUGGAUAAUAAAAAAUGGGAUUAAUGUAUAAACAGAUUUCACUAAAAAGUUUAACAAAAAUGUUAACUCUAAUCCAAAACACCAGUCUAAAGCUAAUCACCAACCCCCUGCCACGGCGCCACCAAGCAAACCCAAUAUCUUCUCCAUGGUCGGUGGCACGAAAAAUGAAGUAAAGAAUGGCAGCCCUUUCAAACCCCAACUCUAAGAUUCAUCUCAUCUCUGGCAAUUGAAGCUUCUCUCCUCUUCGGUGUGUUAAAACUCAUCUCUUCUUUAUUUUCGGCUUCUCCAACUUUUGGCGACUCAACAAAUGCUCAAAAAAUCAACUUCGGCAAAUGACUCAGACCAGUCACCACUCACCCGUCAACGAAAUUGUUUCGUCUUUGGCAGUGCAUCAACAAUGGAAAAUCAUCUCCUCUCUAGUUAGUCAAUUUUAUUUGGUUACUCUGCAUUGGUUUGUCACUUCUAUUUAUAUAUGUGCUCUGUCAGUUCUUAAUAAUGCUUUCAAUUCUCUGUUUUUCUUAUUUUGGGGGAGAGGGUGAAUGGAUCAAUAUACAUGAACUUUAGGUGGGAAGGACUUAAUCUCAUCAUGGGCAAUUUUAUUUGGUUACUCAGCAUCGGUUUGUCACUUCAAUUUAUAUAUGAACUUUAGGGUGAAUGGCUGUUAUGUUAGCUGGAGGUGAAUUUCCUAUCUUGCCCCUUCUUUGAUUAGUCCCAGUGACGAGCAGUCUAUUAUCAAGUACUUAAUGGAACAAGUUGUACUGGGAGAAGAUCAACAAAAAUGGAUGGUGAUGAUAUUCAUUGUUAAUUUCUCUUUUGAACUUGUUCACAUGCAUAUUUUUUUCUAGUUCUCUGGUGGGCUUAUCUUGUUUCUCUACACUCACAAUAGAACAUGAACAAGGUCUGGUUUUUCAUCUCUCAAUGUGAAUAUGGGCUAUGCUAACAUGUUUAUAAACUUCAUUGAACUGGAUUAUGCUUCGGUUCUCCUGCUUAGACUAAUUAUUCAUGUCAAUAUAUACAUCCAUAGUGACUCUACAAUUACCAUUUUAAAUUUAGACUUAGUAUUUUAUUUGCUUAAGAAUUGAAAGUCAAAGUGUUGCUCCUUAUUUCUCCCUUGGAAGUUGAAAUUCGUUUUCUAGAAUAAGUUUUAUGAUGAUUAAAUUCAUAUGAGGUUCAACCUUGUUGGUGUAGCUCUUUUUUUACUCAACUUGGACUGACCUACAUAUCUCAUUUUCUUUUUUUCUUUUUUUUUAAUUUCAACUAUAUAUAUAUAUAUGAGAGUGGUUCUUUUUGUUUGCAAUUGGAGAAUUUAAUUUCAAUGGAAUUCUGACUCAGUAGCUAUUCAUUUUUAUUUGUUUCUAUGUAAAUAUAACAGUUAUGCAUAUAGUUAUUUGACCUGAAGUUCUUAAUUUUAACGUUAUUAUCAUGUAAAUGUUUUGGUCUUUGGUUUCUGAUCAUGUGUGAGUGUUGAAGCUCUGAGUUCUAUGCUACUGAAACAGGCUAAAGUACUUACAGUUUGUCAAUCCAGAAAUGCAAAUUCCUUAGAAGAGGCAGAAAAUGCUGAAGAAAAAGAAGAAAGAUCCUAUGGUGUUAUAAUGAUGGAGAGGUUAACUGGAAGUGCUAAAGGAUGGAUAGAUCACAUCCUUCAGGGGCUUUCCGAGUAUUGUUGUCAUCAGAAUGUCAUAGCGCCAGGAUCAUAGAUGAAUCAUGUAUCUAAAGACCCAAGUAGUUAUUUCGAUGGGCAAUGAGGGUAGUGUUGGGAUUUGGGAAUUGUGGUGUCUUAUUGUUUGUCAGUCCUUGGCUUAGUAGUGUCUUGCAAGUUGCUAGCAUCAAUUUGCAAAAUACUAUAUGAACAUAAAUAUUUGUCAAUUGUCAUGAGAAGAAUGUUCAAAAGGUGAUGGACACUGUAUAAGAUACUUACUAAGUACAUUAAGGAUAUUGAGUUUACACUGUUGAACAUUUUGUCUAAGUGGUUCCUUCUUGUAAUAAUAGACAUGAUAAUUUAGUUUUGUUU